rnacentral:misc_RNA from 1 species
AAACAAAUAACCCCAAAUUAUCGCGGAGUUUACGCGAUGUUUAAUUUAUCGGAUACGACAAGUUGCGAUAUAUUAACUCUCUCCAGAACAAAUUUCAAAAACAUUUCUCCCUGUUAUUCGAUCCCUCGCUAUUUUCUUCUUUGCUGAGAAUCUGACAAGAAAAUUGUAUAGAUAAUCGGCCGAAGGUACAAAACCCUACCCUUUCUUGUUCUUCCUCUUCUUCUUAAGGUAUUUCUCUCUGUUAAAUCUUCUUUCUUUAUGUAUUAGAUGCUUACGUGUGGCAGCCCUAUCUGUUUGGAGUUUGUGAUUUAGUGUAUUUCUUUGUAAGAACCAAAGCUACAGUUUUGUGUGGAUUUUCUGGUUCAAUUCUUUUUUAUUUAGUUUGGGGAGCUUGAUUUCUUGCAGAAUUGCUUCCAGGAAAAUGAAAACGGUUGAAAACCGACCAAAAGCCCUUUCUGCAAGUCCCUCUCUUAGUCAAGAGCCACCUAAGAAUCCUACAGGUAUCAAACUCUCUAAAGAUGCCUCCAAA